UCCUACGGGGGGCAGCAGUGGGGAAUCUUCCGCAAUGGGCGCAAGCCUGACGGAGCAACGCCGCGUGAAUGAAGAAGGUCUUCGGAUCGUAAAGUUCUGUUCUUGGGGAAGAAGUCUUCGGUUGUGAAUAAUUACUUAAGGUGACGGUACCUAUGGAGAAAGCUCCGGCUAACUACGUGCCAGCAGCCGCGGUAAUACGUAGGGAGCGAGCGUUGUCCGGAAUUAUUGGGCGUAAAGCGAGUGCAGGCGGUUCAAUAAGUCUGAUGUGAAAGCCUUCGGCCCAACCGGAGAAUUGGAUCAGAAAA
rnacentral:rRNA from 1 species